rnacentral:rRNA from 1 species
AGAGUUUGAUCAUGGCUCAGGAUGAACGCUGGCGGCGUGCCUAACACAUGCAAGUCGAGCGAAGCACUUUACUUAGAUUCUUCGGAUGAAGAGUUUUGUGACUGAGCGGCGGACGGGUGAGUAACGCGUGGGUAACCUGCCUCAUACAGGGGGAUAACAGUUAGAAAUGACUGCUAAUACCGCAUAAGACCACAGCACCGCAUGGUGCAGGGGUAAAAACUCCGG